GCUACCCUUAUCUUGCUGUGUGUUCUGUCUACGUCGGUGAAAUUCAAAGUGAAUGGUUAAAACAAGUGUACAAGACUAUCCAGAGCUACAAGCCACAGUUCAUUGCCCUGCACUUCCAGGAGGUGGGAGGAAAGGACUACAUGUUAAACAUGGGCCAUGCAGAAGACUUCUUCUGGACCUUCGGUUCCAGUGAAGAAAU